CAGUAGCGUAUAUUAGUUGUUGCAGUUAGCUCGUAGUUGGAUUUCUGGCUCGACGGAGCUGACCCGCGGCGCAAGCCGUGAGUGUCGGUCUCGGUCUGCCAUCCUUCCAGAGAACGUUCCUACCCUUCAUUGGGCCGGGUUCGCAAUCUGGGACUUUUACUUUGAGGAAUUAGAGUGUUCAAAGCAGGCUUGCGCUGUGAAUACAUUAGCAUGGAAUAUCAACUUAGGACUUUGGUUCUAUUUUGUUGGUUUCUAGGACUGAAGUAAUGAUUGAUAGGGAUAGUUGGGGGCAUUUUUAUUCCAUUGUCAGAGGUGAAAUUCUUGGAUUAACGGAAGAAAACUACUGCGAAAGCAUCUGCCAAGGAUGUUUUCAUUGAUCAAGAACGAAAGUUAGGGGAUCAAAGAUGAUCAGAUACCAU
rnacentral:rRNA from 1 species